UGGACUGAAGAAAGGAAGGUUGAGUUCUACAAAAAAUUCUGAUAAGAUUUUAACAAAACACUCAGUUUUGUUUUUGCCAGCGACAAAGCCACAUAGAAUUUAAGAAUCUUUUGAAAGAAAAGAAAAUAUAAGAAGAAAUCGAAACAAAACAAAACCACGAAACCAAACAUGAGCUUUGGGCAUAUUGUUUUAAUCCAAAUACGGGAUGUGACGGGAAAACGACUGGACCCCACUUGACAAAAAACAGUGAUAAAUUUUAUAUAAAAAGCUGUAAAAAGUGCAAAGCACUUUGCAUUAGUAUCGGCCUUUGUACUGCUGCUGCCAUAGAAUAGGAAGAGAUAAGGGCAA